CACGAACGGGCAGCGAGUACUCAGACAAAUUCCCAAAGUGUAACUGAGUUUGUAUAAGUUGAAGCAUGGAGGGCAACCGCACUGACCUGCAGCCACCACCAGGCUACCCAACGAUUGUGGACUCAGUGCCAAGCUGCGACGACUCGCCACGCCGAGGACGAACAAGACCACGCGGCCGGAAAACUAGUUUUCUCGAUGCAUGUGUUGCCGCACUGUGCUGCUGCUGGCUGUGCGACCUGUGCUGCGUUUAAUUGGAUCGGAGGGCAACGAAACAAGCUC